rnacentral:ribozyme from 1 species
UGCCCAGCAACUCCUAUCCCUACCUCCACGCGGUACCGACCGGAAGCUAUGAGCAACCUUAGGGAAGAUCGGGUAACCAACCCCGGUGGGAACUUUGGUCGUAGGCUGACAGGGAAGG